CCCUUAGAGUUUGAUCCUGGCUCAGAUUGAACGCUGGCGGCAUGCCUUACACAUGCAAGUCGAACGGUAACAGGGAGCUUGCUCCGCUGACGAGUGGCGAACGGGUGAGUAAUACAUCGGAACGUGCCCAGUAAUGGGGGAUAGCUCGGCGAAAGCCGGAUUAAUACCGCAUACGCCCUGAGGGGGAAAGUGGAGGACCGCAAGGCCUCACGUUAUUGGAGCGGCCGAUGGCUGAUUAGCUAGUUGGUAGGGUAAAGGCCUACCAAGGCGACGAUCAGUAGCUGGUCUGAGAGGACGAUCAGCCACACUGGGACUGAGACACGGCCCAGACUCCUACGGGAGGCAGCAGUGGGGAAUUUUGGACAAUGGGGGAAACCCUGAUCCAGCAAUGCCGCGUGUGCGAAGAAGGCCUUCGGGUUGUAAAGCACUUUUGUCAGGGAAGAAAUCCUUUGGGCUAAUACCCUAGGGGGAUGACGGUACCUGAAGAAUAAGCACCGGCUAACUACGUGCCAGCAGCCGCGGUAAUACGUAGGGUGCAAGCGUUAAUCGGAAUUACUGGGCGUAAAGCGUGCGCAGGCGGUUGUGUAAGACAGGUGUGAAAUCCCCGGGCUUAACCUGGGAAUUGCAUUUGUGACUGCACGACUAGAGUGUGUCAGAGGGGGGUGGAAUUCCACGUGUAGCAGUGAAAUGCGUAGAUAUGUGGAGGAACACCAAUGGCGAAGGCAGCCCCCCUGGGAUAACACUGACGCU
rnacentral:rRNA from 1 species